CAGGACGAACGCUGGCGGCGUGCCUAAUACAUGCAAGUCGAACGCACUGACGUCGACAGAAGGUGCUUGCACUGGAAGUUGAUUGACGUGAGUGGCGGACGGGUGAGUAACACGUGGGUAACCUGCCCUUAAGCGGGGGAUAACAUUUGGAAACAGAUGCUAAUACCGCAUAAAAGUUGAGAUCACAUGGUCUUAAUUUGAAAGACGGCCUUUGGCUGUCACUUAAGGAUGGACCCGCGGCGUAUUAGCUAGUUGGUGAGAUAAUAGCCCACCAAGGCGAUGAUACGUAGCCGACCUGAGAGGGUAAUCGGCCACAUUGGGACUGAGACACGGCCCAAACUCCUACGGGAGGCAGCAGUAGGGAAUCUUCCACAAUGGACGAAAGUCUGAUGGAGCAACGCCGCGUGAGUGAAGAAGGUUUUCGGAUCGUAAAACUCUGUUGUUGGAGAAGAACAGGGACUAGAGUAACUGUUAGUCCUUUGACGGUAUCCAACCAGAAAGCCACGGCUAACUACGUGCCAGCAGCCGCGGUAAUACGUAGGUGGCAAGCGUUGUCCGGAUUUAUUGGGCGUAAAGCGAGCGCAGGCGGUUUCUUAAGUCUGAUGUGAAAGCCUUCGGCUUAACCGAAGAAGUGCAUCAGAUACUGGGAAACUUGAGUGCAGAAGAGGAAAGUGGAACUCCAUGUGUAGCGGUGAAAUGCGUAGAUAUAUGGAAGAACACCAGUGGCGAAGGCGGCUUUCUGGUCUGUAACUGACGCUGAGGCUCGAAAGUAUGGGGAGCGAACAGGAUUAGAUACCCUGGUAGUCCAUACCGUAAACGAUGAAUGCUAAGUGUUGGAGGGUUUCCGCCCUUCAGUGCUGCAGCUAACGCAUUAAGCAUUCCGCCUGGGGAGUACGACCGCAAGGUUGAAACUCAAAGGAAUUGACGGGGGCCCGCACAAGCGGUGGAGCAUGUGGUUUAAUUCGAAGCUACGCGAAGAACCUUACCAGGUCUUGACAUCUAGCGCCAAUCCUAGAGAUAGGACGUUCCCUUCGGGGACGCUAAGACAAGUGGUGCAUGGUUGUAGUCAGCUCGUGUCGUGAGAUGUUGGGUUAAGUCCCGCAACGAGCGCAACCCUUAUGAUUAGUUGCCAGCAUUUAAUUGGGCACUCUAAUCAGACUGCCGGUGACAAAC
rnacentral:rRNA from 1 species